CCCUUAGAUGUUCUGGGCCGCACGCGCGCUACACUGAUGCAUUCAACGAGUUUCUUCCUGGUCCGAGAGGAAUGGGUAACCUUUUGAAAGUGCAUCGUGAUAGGGAUAGACUAUUGCAAUUAUUGGUCUUCAACGAGGAAUUCCUAGUAGACGUAGUUCAUCAGACUGCAUCGAUUACGUCCCUGCCCUUUGUACACACCGCCCGUCGCUACUACCGAUUGAAUGGUUCAGUGAGAUAAUCGGACAGAAAACUUGGCAACUGGCAACAGUUGACGUGCAUUUUUGGAAGACGAUCAAACUUGGUCAUUUAGAGGAAGUAAAAGUCGUAACA
rnacentral:rRNA from 1 species